UUUAGUCAGUGGUGAGUCACG
rnacentral:piRNA from 1 species